AUGGGAUCGGGUCUAUAUGGGUAUAUCGAUCAAACAAUCCCAGAACCACCCAAAACCAUUAUCACCAAAACCUCAGAAGGAAAGGAUCAAACUAGUCCUAACUCUACCUAUACCCCAUGGCUGAUUCAAGAUCAACAUAUUGUUGCAUACCUUCUCCGUAAUAUUUCCAAGGAAGUAUUGGUUCAGGUAGCUUCGUUAGGAACAUCCCAUGCCAUCUGGGAAGCUCUCGCAAACAUGUUUGCUGCCCAAUCCCGUUCCCGUGCAAACAACUGCCGCAUCUUCCUUACUAAUGCCCAGAAGGGCUCCCAGACUGCCGCUACUUUCUUUGGCCACAUGAGAUUGCUCUCAGAUGAACUAGCAGCGGCCGGAAAACCAAUCGGCGAGGACGAGCUUAUCUCGUUCAUCAUCGCAGGGCUUGCCAUGGAUUAUCAGCCUCUCAUCUCCGCUCUUGAUGUUCGAACCGAACCCCUCUCUGUCGACGAUCACUUCGGUAUGGUCUCCAAUUUUGAUCAGCGUGUCGAGCUGUUCCAGGGCUCAUGA
rnacentral:rRNA from 1 species